rnacentral:rRNA from 1 species
AGAGUUUGAUCCUGGCUCAGAAUGAACGUUGGCGGCGUGGAUUAGGCAUGCAAGUCGUACGGGCCAGCAAUGGCCAGUGGCGAAAGGGAGAGGAAUACGCAGGUAUCUGCCUCCGGGUCGGGGAUAGCCACGGGAAACUGUGGGUAAUACCCGAUAACGUCUCCGGACCAAAGGUGUAAUUCCACCUGGAGAGGAGCCUGCGUCCUAUUAGCUUGUUGGCGAGGUAAUGGCUCACCAAGGCUACGAUGGGUACGGGGUGUGAGAGCAUGCCCCCGCUCACUGGGACUGAGACACUGCCCAGACACCUACGGGUGGCUGCAGUCGAGAAUCUUCCGCAAUGGGCGCAAGCCUGACGGAGCGACGCCGCGUGUGGGAUGAAGGCCUUCGGGUUGUAAACCACUGUCGUAGAGGAGGAAGGACCGGUGCAGAGCCGGUUUUGACCUAUUCUAGGAGGAAGGGUGGGCUAAGUUCGUGCCAGCAGCCGCGGUAAGACGAACCACCCAAACGUUAUUCGGAAUUACUGGGCUUAAAGGGUGCGUAGGCGGCGCGGAAAGUCAGAUGUGAAAUCCCUCGGCUUAACCGAGGAACUGCGUUUGAAACUACCGUGCUUGAGUAAGACAGAGGUAAGCGGAACUUCGGGUGGAGCGGUGAAAUGCGUUGAUAUCCGAAGGAACACCGGUGGCGAAAGCGGCUUACUGGGUCUUUACUGACGCUGAUGCACGAAAGCUAGGGGAGCAAACGGGAUUAGAUACCCUGGUAGUCC